rnacentral:lncRNA from 1 species
UGGUCCUACAUGUUAACUGUGGCCAUGGUCGUACUUUGCCAACGGUGACCCCUAUAAUCAUAUCAUGUCACCAAUCUCGUCAAAGAGUACGCCAUCAUCCACAAAGAGUGGUCAUCUCAUGUCUUUUCAAACUAAAUGGGGGAGAAAUAUAAACCCAUCAGAGAUAAAAAAUCGAAUGAAAUACUUUAUGAAUUAUGCAUGUCAAUAUCAAUACAUAUUUCUCAUGUCUAUGCAUCAUUUCAUGCUUAAUCAUUUUUCC